rnacentral:lncRNA from 1 species
AAUCAGUUCACUGCAGGGUCAGACAAGCACUGGGGCCCUCAGUGCUGGAGCAGAGGAUGGGACCGGGGCUGGGGCACACCUGGCUGCAGUUCGGGUGUUCUGCUGCCAUCACUUGUGAGACUGUGAGCUGUACAGGUCCCUGGUUUGAAACAGGCCACUUCAUCCAGCCCUACCCCUGACAGAGGUGGCUGCCCCCCAGCUCAGGCUGCCCAGGGCCCAUCCACGGCCUCGGGCACCACAGGGAAGCGGCACCCACAGCUCUGGGCAGCAGUGCCAGCACCUCACCACUUCUGAGUGAAGGAUUUCCUCCUGCAACUUUGGGAUAUGUUUCUCAGAUGCUGUGCCACUAGGAGAGCUUCACUAGUGGUGGAGCAGAUGUAGGUCGUGGUGGUGUGUUGACAAGGAAUUCACAAAAGCACGUGAUGAAGUUGUGAUGCAGUCCCUUCAUCCUGUUAGUGUCUGUCCUCAGCAAAGGGGAAGUCCAAUCCUGCAUGCUUCUUGCUCCACUGUUAUUCUUCUUCGUGGCAAUGACCUGGAUCAGAAAACACGUUCAGCUAGGAACUAGCCAGGCUAAAAUGAAAGAAAAAAAAGAGAAAAAAUCACAAACUUGGAGCAAGGCCAGGCUGAAGAUCUUCUGCAGCUCAAAGCUCGUAGGAAUAGGCAGCACAGGGCAGUCACAAUUUGCCCAUGAAGACCUAGGAGGGAAUCAGGCGAACAAAUGGAUCAUGGGGACAUACUUCAAAAGCCAGCUUCUCUCCCUGAAGGAGUCGACUCCCUGCAUCAGUGACUUUGUGGGAGCUUCCCUGCUUCAGUGCAUUAGCAUUAUUUUCCAUGGGCACAGGCUGGGAGAGACAGGUUUCUUCACUUUCUACUGUAUCUGCAUGAGAACAGCCUUCAGGAGGAACGCUGAGACACCACAGACUUCGCAUGUAACAGCUUUGGUGUGGGAACUGCGAUCACCGCUCCGUAAGGCUUUGGCUGCCUUCCCAGCUCGCGGGUGUUGAAGUUCUCGGGGUGUCCUUGCACAGGAGUUGGAGGCGAUUUAUAGCUCGUGUGUUGGGAAACAGCGUUCGUGCAAAUCAUUUUUCUUAGAUAAGUGGGAAAUCUGGAGUCUUUUGGGACUUUUGGGUAGAAAGGCUUUAGCUUUUAUUUUCUUUAGAAGAAAUAACGCAGUGCUCCCACUCCUCGUAUUCAAAGUAGGAAGCAUUUAUGUUUUGGAAGACUUUUAUCUCUGACAAACUGAAUAAGAGAAACAAAAGAAUUAGCCUGAGCUGCCACCUCCUCCCAGACACCCCGAGCAGUCCUAUUAAUGGAUGGUUUUUGCUUUUAGAUGAUAUACAAACUGUCUUUUUAGUUGUCCUGCAAGGCUGAGGCCCUGGCUCCCCAAAGUGCAGCGGUGCUUCCAGCGGCUGAUGCACAGCACUGACGGGCGGCAGGGAGAGACCUGCGUGGAGAGUUUCCGUCAGGCUGCAGCCAUCAGUGUGAGGCUGCUGGGCCGGCUCCAGCCAGCCUGCGUGAUAUUUCCUCUGGAGCUUCAGUCGGAUUAGAUAUUCAUCUUCUCUUCCUGUUCCAAACCGUUGUUUAGUGUUGAUGUGUCCUCUCGUGCUGUUGCCAAGUUCCACGCAGUGGUGGUAAAGGCAGUCCUACAUCUAUGCUGAGAUUAUUAAACUCUUGGGGAAGUUUAACCCUUUCUCUCCAUUGAAGUUAGUGGGACUUAUGCACCUAAAUCUCUUCAACUGCUUUGCAGAUUCCAGUACCACAACAACCUAAAGCCCAGGCUCAGCAGCAGUGGAUCCAGACCUGCUCCCCAGGCUGGGGAUGCUCACCACAAUGGUUUCCCUUCUGGUAAGGGAGCUUGCCAUGCCUGGGCUGCCUGCAACUUGCUUUCCUGCAGAGUGACUUCAACCUGCCCACAGCACCUUGCACAUGAUCCUUGUAUGUGGAGCUUUGCCUUCCAGACUGCACUGUGCCCUUCAAUAUUGUGGUGCUGUUGGCUGGCCUCUACACCAGGAUAGCUGUUACAGCUCUUCUCGUGCCCCACUUUGGACAGGAGCCCGGCAAAAUGACUGUCUCACCAGUGAAGUAAUGAAGGGUGCUGCAGGGAAAUCUUAACACCGUGGUAUUUGAACAUAAUCAUUAAGCCUUUACACUUUUGAUAGAUCACAUGACUGGGUACGAAAUGACUGCAUAAAAACCUAUCUCAUCUGGGAUAGAUGUUAAUAUUCCCCUGGAAAUGCAAGUAGCCAAAUGUUUCCUAAAUGGCUACAGUUCUCUAAAGGAAGAGGGUUUCCUUUGGCAUUUUUUGUUUGGAUUUGCUGUUGUUUUGUUGUCUUUUUUUUCCUCUUUCAAAUCCUUGGUGAUACAAUAACUGCAAACAAAUACGUACAUGCAGAAGUUCACAGCUUCUCACAUGGUACAUGUGCCAUAGAACGGGACAGCGGACACAUAAUGAGGAGCCUAAUCCAUUUCUGAAAUCCAGUCACAGGACUGAUGGCUUAGAAAGACUUUUAAAACUCAUUGUCUGGGAGUACAAGGAUGAAUAACUGUAAUAAGCUUUGAAAUGUAUUUCCUUAAGAACAAUGCGGUCUAUUCCUUUAAGUUGAGGCCUUUGAUUCAUUCAAAGGGCUCUGCUGAGCGCUAAGGAGGGGAGGUAGGAGUCAGGCUGGAAUUAAAGCUUUGGCCUUGGUAGAGGACCUGUAUCUACAAAAGCUUGUUGCAAUCAAAACCCCAAGCAAUCCCACAAAGCCCCUCCUCCAGAUCUGCAACCCUGUGCACAGAAAAGAUGUCAGCUUUUGCUGUAGUUGUUACAGCAUUUUAAUUUCAAAUGGGACUGCAGACCCCUGUUAAUAUUGGUUGGGAAGCAAUAACAUGGAUAAGUUCUGUAGGAAAAAUAUAAAAGCCAGGGAAAAAAAAUUGUGUCAGUGUACCUCUGGUGUCAGUGUGUGAAGUGCCAGCAUACAUAAUGCUGCUUUUCUCCCUUAUUUUUUCAGCCUCAGAAGGACUGGGCUCUUCUCUGUCUGCCUGACUCUGUAAAGAAAUGACCAUGGAGAAGUGUUUCUCGGUGAUGAAUUUCACACAGAAAUCAGAUCCAAGGUCGUCUUCUUCUCUGGCAGGUCUGUGAUUUGGGGCCAGCCCUGAGGAAAUUCUGUCCUCUGCACGUGAGCAUAAGUCAAAACGGGAAGCGGUUCAGCAGAAGUCAGGAACGCUUCCACCGCAAUAAAUGAAAGCGUAAAUUAAAGCAGCUUCAAGGAGCAGCCGUGGCCUUAACACCACGUCUGAAAGGCUCAGUGCUUGCAGACUCAUAGAAAAAAUGGGUUUGGAAAGAUCUGUAGGCAUCCGGAUGAACCAUCUGCUCAGAGCUAACUUCCAAGCUUGAUGGGAGCCAUGCAGGGUAUUACCAGCUGGGUUUGCAAAACCAAAUGCCGUGGAGAAGGGAGUCCUUCUGUCUCAGGAGCAUUGUCACUUGCAGAUGAGCUGUGCCUAGCUUGGGGAUUUAUUGUUAAUUUUGCUCCUGUCUCAAAAGCCUUCGAUCACUCAGGCAAAUUAGAAGCCACAUAAUAAAGAAGAGAUCGGUCAUUCCCUCUCUCCUCCUCUCCCUUGAGCCUGUGCUAAUCGCUUAAAUAAUUCUUCUUAUCUCUAACCAUCCUUUUUUUAUUCUCUUCAAAGCAUCCUUUGGGAAAUGUACUCCAAAGACAGAGCUGAGAGUCUGGCAGCAAAUAAACCGAGUUUCAGUUCCAUCCCUUUUUCCUCUGUAGACCAGGGAGCCCCAGGGGGAUGGGAGUACCUGAGCAGUGUGGGGACCUGAUGGUGGGUGCCUGAGCUCAGAGCCCAUUGCCCUGAUUGAGGCUCUGGUGCAGUGAGGAAGAUCUGGGCAUAAUAUAGUGCACACUCUGUUCUGCAGUCUAGUCUGCUGCUCACUGCUAGGUUUACAGAGAAGAAAGCUGCUGCAUGCCAAAAUUACAUAAAUUCUGCUGGUUUCCUAUAGCCUAAGCCUCACAUUCACUAGGUAUGAUUACCUCAUGCUCACCUCUGCACCUGGGGAGUACACAAGGCCAACAAACAAGCCGAGCCAGAAAAAAGCUUCCUGGUUCCUGACAUCACUUUGCUUAUUCAGUGAAACGUGGUGUGCGAGGUCGGGGCGGGGGCACGUGGGGCUGCUGGGCGCAGUGCUUGUUUGUUGGGCUCAGCCUGGCCCUGGUGGGCUCUGCCAGGUGAGCUCUGGUUGCAGGAGGGCAGUGAGGGCAGUGUCACUCUGGGGGAGCACGAGCUGUUCCCUACUCACGUGGGCAAUGCUGCUCAGGAGGGUGAAACAUGAGCUUUUCUUCGCUGGAGGGCGGCAGGUGACGGUCAUGAACAACGACCAAGGCAGGAAAACCUCCGCAGAUAAAGAAGUGCCUUUUCAGCCCAAACAAGGGGUUUCAUAGACAAUUUUUAUUUGUUUUAGAAUUUGUGUUUCCCCGUGAAAACUUGAUAGAUUUUCCUUUUUAAAUCAAAAUAUCUUUUCAAGGGAAACAAGACCUCAUUUACCUUCCUCUGCGUAAAGCUUGCUGUCUUCUUCAGCUGUCCCAUGAGCUUGUAGGUAGAAGUUAGCACACAUUAUAUGGAACAGAAAGAUGAUCUAUAGUAAGGACCGCUGUGUUUUCAUUUGUAUGCGCUCCAUUCUUACGUGAUGCUUUGAGCCAAGUGAUGCUGGAGGCAGUAGGAAGGUGGGACAGGCUCAAGGCUCGCUGUCUUUAACUGCAGGUUUCACAAUACAAAGGAGCCGCACCAAUGAGGGAGGCACCACUGAUGCCUGGGCUCUGGCGUGCUCUCACUUUGCCAGACACCCAAAACCCAUGUGUGAGUGAGGCACUGUAGUGUCUCAACCACAGGUUGUGUCAUAAAGCAAAAUCCAUCCGCAUUUCCUCAGUUCCAGCCUUCGGGAACUGUUGGCUUUCCUUUCACCCGUCUGUCUGCCUUCCCGGCUAUUGCUACGAAGCGCUCUGCCACGCCUUGCUGCUCUAUGCCCUCAUCUAAGUCGUUAAUUAAAUCACUCAGUGGGAGCAUCAAGAUAGUCACGGGAUGGAACGAGUGAUCCCAUUGCUGCCACGGUUGUCCUCCUGCUCCCUCCCCACCCACCUCUUCCAUUUCGCUCCUGUUGUAUCAUGUCUCUGUGGAACAUUACCAUUUCAAGGCAGAGACUGUGCCAUUGUUUUCUGAGAACCACCCAGGAUAGUGAAGGGAGCUCAGUAAUAAUAACUAUUAUUAACACUGUGGUAGAGGGCGGAAUUUGGCUGCUGUAUCCUUUUUGUGUGCAGGGCUUUAUGCUGAGAUACACUGCUCUGCUCUGGCGUGUGCAUGCACUUGGAAAAAAUAGAGCAUAUGGACUUUUCUUCAGUUCCCAACAUUCCUGAAAGUACUUUUGAGUCAUUGUAGCUUGAAAAUGUCCUUUGCAGCGAGCUCCUCCUGUCCCUGUGCUGUGCGUGUCCCCGCUGGAUGAGCGGUGCUGCAGGCCACGAGGUGCCCCGUGAUAGCGGCUGUGAACAGGCGGCUGUGCUGCUGCGAGGUGGGGGGCUGGCGGGCACUGAGCAGCUCAGGAGCUGUUGCUGCAGAAGUGGGUCUGUGUGUAGGUCCCACUGUUCCUCAGCCUCAAGUCUCGCCUGUUUUUUUAACAUAAUUGACUUAAUUAGCUCAGUUGAAUGGGGAUUGUACAAUAAAUGGAAUCUACAUGCUUCCUCUGAGGAGUGGUGCUGUACACAGCAACUGGAGCAGCAGUGUUUCUUUAGCCCACACCAAACUCUUGGUUUGUACUGUGACUUGCAAAAGAAAUGAUGUCACUAAUACAACGACCACUCAUUUCUGUGUUUCUCAGUGGGUCUUCUGACAGGAUCGUUUCAGUGACUGCCCUCCAGCUCAGUAUUUAUUUCAAACAUCAGUUUCACAUCUAGUAAUAGCCAUUUACUUCUUUCUGAUUGUUUUGGUACCUGGUAAAGGGAGCAAAAGGGCAGAACCCUUCAGAAGCAGCAAGCACAUCCAAGUACAUCCAUUAUUGCAUUACCUCUGAUCAGGUUCUUGGAGCUUUGGUCACUUUUUUUUUUGUUUUGUUUUGUUUUGUUUUAAUUGAUUUUCUGAGUUAUUGAGGUUUGGAAUACAAAGUGUUCUUUGAUCCUUGGUACUGUUUUUUAAUACCCAAACUGUUUGAUGCUUCCUAUAGCAAAACGACAUCUUGCAGUUCAAUCAUCUCUCCAUUACAAAAUGAGGUCUGCAGGAUCCUCUGAUUUGUAUGGCUUAGGGGAGAACUUCCUAUCAGCUGGGACCGGAACUCAGUCUUUGGACCUCUUUUCUUCACCGUGUUUUAAGUCACUGUCUGACUCUUGCCAUUUAAUUAACUUUGUAGCACUUGACAGCAAAACAAGGAUGAUUUUAUAUUCACUCAGGAGGGUUAAGAUGCUUAAUUAGGCUGUGCUUUUGAAGUAGUUCCCUUAAUUCACUGCAGAAGAUCGGUGUAUUCAUGUAUAUCACAUGCACUGCAUUUAAAUAGGUUUAUACCAAGAGCAUUAGGUGAGUGUAUGCUUUGGAAGAACCUUGUGUGCACCUCUGCCCAUGAUAGCAUUUUGCGUCAGCUCACUUCUUUGAGUCAGAAAUGUAAAUGUGGUAAUCAAUAUCUCCGUGAGCCUGGAAGGCAAAGCCCCACAAUUAACAAUAACGUGCAGGUGAUAAUUAAGCUUGUUCUACAUGUCCCAGUUCUGGAGGCUGAUAACACAGACAAUCUCAGCUGCCUGGUCAUAGCUGAUAUUUGGGGACGGGCAGCAAGGAAGCUAAGAUAUUUUUUAAAAAGAUGAUGUGGUCAUGCAGGAAUGCAGUCAUGUGAAAAGUACCUAUGAUAGAGGGGGAAAAAAUGCUUCAUUCUUCCCUAGCUAGGUCUCUCCAUUUCUUCCCUGUGAUCAACAUAACACAUGUCAGAAACUGAGUUUACGUGGACCAAGACUUGGCACGUUGUACCAGCAAGGCAUUGGCUCCUGGUGAUGUGAGGCGCUGGCAAGGUGCUUGGGCCAGCGAGCAGCCCACACUAGGUGAUAAUUUAUGGCUACCUGUAAUCUCCUCUAAAUAGAAACCAUUUAUAUUCUUGCUAGGGAAGCGAGAAAUGACCAGACAAUGAGAGUUCAGCCAAACCAAACCUUCCUAUAACUCUGCAAAAGGCAAACGCUCUCUGGUACUGACAUUAACAAUGGUAUGGGCUCUUAGAAACCGUACAAUUUCGGUUUUAUUUAUUUUAAUACUGUUUGCCUGUGAAAUUUCAGAAGCUGGCAGUUUAUAAGAGCAGAAGCUGAGUUUUUACUCUUGGAUUUUGAUUCAGUUUCUUUAAAGCACAAGAAAGACUGAGCACCAGCCCAGUGCUGUGCAGCAUUUGUGCCCUCCCAAUGGGUGCUGUGUUGAUAACCCAAAGGUGCAAUACAACAGCCGUUACUCAGUGAUGCUGUUGAGCACUGCAGCAGUGGUGCAGAUGUUAUCCUUGCCCCACCCUGUGGUUUGGCAUCAUGCUGCCCUCCCUGCAAACUCCCAUCUAUGUGCUGGGAGGUAAGGACGGGUCUGGGGGUGCGCCAGGCCAUGGCCAGUGGGAGCUGUGCUGGAGGCAGUGAGUUUGGGGAAGGUGUUGGGCUUUGAAAAAAGCUGGUAGCCUGAAGGGGCAGCAGAGGCUGCUCUCAGUCCUCCAGGUACUUGGUCUGUGCUGCUGUGCUUGGGUGAAGGCUUCCAACAAUGGGCCUGAGGCCUCCUGUGGGAUCUGAUCACAUCAGGUCUUUGGGGGAUGCGCUUUGGUAAAUCAGAAAGUGAGCUCUCCACUCACAGGCCCUCUUCUCUCUCUAAGAUUUAGUAUGUCCAUAGUUGGCACCCAAAUGCUACGGUGUGAGUAUAGGCAUGCACUGAACUAACAGAUCCAGCUGGAGAAUCUCAGUUUGGAUCUACCUGUUUCUUGAACCUGGCUUAUUUAUAAGCUGAGAUCAAGGAUUCCACAUGACAUUUCCCCAAUCCCAUGGGUGCUAUGCCUAUUUCUGGUAUGAGCUAUUCUCUGCCCUGUCUGUCUGUAUGUGUUAUUUAUCUUUGCACAUGUGCCUAGCUUCAUGUUAUUAUUUAUGAAUGCUCCUCAUCAUUCUCCCAAAGAGAGCCCAACACUGCAAGGGGGCAGGGACUCUGUUUCUUACACACAGUAACUCAGUACAGCCUUUAGGCAUCACUGAAACUCAAAGCAUUCAUUCCAUUGAGUUUAGCCAGUAAAAAGCACUUCACCUGUCUCACACUUCUUGGAGUUUUACUGAUUUCCCUUCUGUGGAGCAACAACUUCACCACAAUUCUUCCCUUCUCUCUCUUUUAAAGUUUUCUUUUUUUUCUUUCUUUCUUUCUUUUUUUUUUUUUUUUUUUUUUGCUAACUGUUAAGCAAUUCCACCUGGAGAUGUGAGAACUUCACAGGCUGUAAAGCUUACAUCCUGCAAAUCUCCUUAUCCAGUAUUAAAAACAUCUAAAGGAGUGGAAGCACUGCUGAAAUAUAUUGUUAUGCUUAGGAAUGGACACAGGGAUGAGAUUUGCUCAACAAAAUAAUCUUUAUGGUUUUAGGAAUGGCACAGUGAAUUAAUAUGAAUCCAAUGGAAUUAUAGAAAUUACCUUCUACAGAAACAACUACUUUACAACAGUGAAGUUAAAGUCAUGAAAAAUAUCUUAAAAGCAGUUACUGUGAAAGUCCUUCUCUCCCCACAGUGACGUUUGCAAAGGGGAGACAUCUGUUUCUCAUGUAAAUUAAUACUUACACUUAAGAUACACAAUAGAAAUAUUUAUCAAAAAUAGGAUAAUGGCAAAGACUGAAAGGAUUGGUUUACGCACCCAUAGUGGAGGCAAGACAACACUUGCAAAUUGCGUAGAAGCACACUGAUCUUAAGUUGAAAUACUCUGUAUAAGCAUGGGAUUAUUCGUGUCUGUGUGUUUGUAUAUGCAUUUGUGUCUACGUACUUAGUAAUUGUUUCUAAUAGGUUAUGGUUUUGGAAAUACUAGCCUGUGCAAUACUAGUCCCAUCCUCAUAUUUACGUAAAACGUUUGCCAUUUUUCAUUGGCUUUAGUUCUUGUUAACUUAUGGAAAAGCUUUCUAGCUACACUUCCAUGCUCCGUUGUACCCUGCCAUCACCACAGCCAUACAGUGUGGUGCUCCCAGGCUUCUGUUUGAAACAAAGAUGUAAUGCAGAGCCAAGGAACUGCAUGAUGUAAAUCUGCAGAGUAUCCCAGUCCCUAUCACAGGCUUAUAUCUCCACUUGAUGAGUACUGAAAACCAAAGCCUGAUGUCAUGUGUGCAUUCUCAAAGGAACGAAGAAGAGCAUGUGAGCGUGUAGUUGUGUUACUGAAACAUCACCAUGUCUGUGCUGAACUGGAGGCAGCAGCAUGCAGAGCUUUGUGGUUCUUUAUGCCUUAAAGGAAAACCUUAUAACAUGUUUUUCUUCAUGUUGCCAUAACACUUUGUAUCUUAGCAAUAAAUACUGGGUAGAUUUAGUGUUAUCGCAAGAAAUUUGUGCUCCGGAGAUUUACUGUUCCACUCCCACAGCACCUUUAAACCCCACAUCAGUGGUAGGACAGCAAUUCCUGGCCGCCGUUAGGACCAAUUUACCUCAUUUCCUCUGUUUCAGCAAAGUGAGAUCGAAGAGGUUAGAAAAAUAACAAACAUAAAAACAGGAGGAAAGCUAUUGCUAACCUCUGCGUGUAACAGAGUCACACUUCAGAACAAGCCCAAAGGGUUCUGCUUGGCGGAGGCGAGGGGAAAUCUUUGUACUGCUGGGCUCACAUUGCUGCUUGUCGCUGUUGUCAUGUCUCAUCUGGGUGUCUUUAACAUGAAAUAAAAUAUUACCAUGCUAAGGACCAAAAAAGUGAGAAAUGCACUCAUCUGUGUCCCUGACUUGUGCCAAAGAAUUUUUCAUUCCUACCUCAGCUCUAAUGUGAAAUGUGUUAAAUGAAAAUCUCCAGGAGAGUAUCCAGAAUAGAUAGGCAUGUUUAGGUCAGCAUACCAUUUGGCAUUGCCAUGGACCUCGUCUCUAAUUACUAAAGAAAUAGUGAGUUAGUGACUUAAAGUCCACAGUGACUGUGACCUAAAUCAUUUCCAUUCUGGAUAGUGGCCUGAAAUAAAGAGGGCUUUUCAUUAGCGUGGCACAGAUUUAGUGUCGUGGGACAUGGAGUUUGUGCUUCAGAGGAAGUGCGGUCAAUGGGCCAUUAAGUUUUGAAACAAGAGGCAGACAUCUUCUAAUCUCAGUGCUGUUGACAAUAAAUAUUGGGG